CUCAAUUCACCAUGGGAAGGUCCCUACGUCAUAUCCAAGGUCACAGGGCCUGGAUCGUAUCGACUACAAGACCUCUCAGGAGAAGAAAUAGCAAACUCUUGAAACAUAGAACAUCUGUGUUGCUAUUACACAUAGAAGACUACAAAAUAAACACUCAGGUUUUCACGCAAGUUAAAAAUAACAAAGUUCUUCUGCAAAAUUCCCAUCUUUGCCACUGACUCGGCUAUCUUCAUUAAGUCUCUCCGAGUUAUCACGACUCACCGGCUAUCAACAGCCACUUGAGCUCUCUAGCUCUCCGAGCCCUAGCGCUCCGACUUCAUUAAGUCUCUCCGAGUUAUCACAACUCACCGGCUAUCAACAACCACUCGAGCUCUCUAGCUCUCCGAGCCCCAAUGCUCCGACUGACUUGAAUUCAUCAAGCAUCGCCGAGUUAUCACAACUCGUCGGCUAUUCACAUCCACUCGAGUACUUCAGCUCUGUGAGCUCCCGUACUCUACUCUCCGUUCUCGAGUCGAACAAGACUCCGAGUCAUCAUAACCCGUAGAGAUACCCACAAUUACUGAAACUUCAGUUCGAGUUCUCAACUCGCCUUCACAAGACAAGCAGGCUUCACAAAAGUCACGACUACAUCAUUAGUCAUUCUUUACCCAAAGCAAGACCGACGCAAUCAUCGGAUAACAACUCAAGAAUGCAUUCUUUGCAUUGAAUAAUUUUCAAAGUUAGAUGCGACUACUCAACGGAGUCAGGGUACUCAAAAUACAAUACAACAGCACAACAACGACUACAAGCAACUGCCUACUGGUAGUCUGCACCAAAGUUCCAAGCUUUUACUAUAUCACAAGGAUACAC
rnacentral:lncRNA from 1 species